rnacentral:rRNA from 1 species
UACGUAGGGUGCGAGCGUUGUCCGGAAUUAUUGGGCGUAAAGGGCUCGUAGGCGGUUUGUCGCGUCGGGAGUGAAAACGCCGUGCUUAACACGGCGCUUGCUUUCGAUACGGGCAGACUAGAGGUAUUCAGGGGAGAACGGAAUUCCUGGUGUAGCGGUGAAAUGCGCAGAUAUCAGGAGGAACACCGGUGGCGAAGGCGGUUCUCUGGGCAUUACCUGACGCUGAGGAGCGAAAGUGUGGGGAGCGAACAGG